AACGAACGCUGGCGGCAGGCCUAACACAUGCAAGUCGAACGCCGUAGCAAUACGGAGUGGCAGACGGGUGAGUAACGCGUGGGAACCUUCCCUAUGGUUCGGAAUAGCUCAGGGAAACCUGGGGUAAUACCGGAUAAGCCCUUCGGGGGAAAGAUUUAUCGCCAUUGGAUGGGCCCGCGUCGGAUUAGCUAGUUGGUGAGGUAACGGCUCACCAAGGCGACGAUCCGUAGCUGGUCUGAGAGGAUGAUCAGCCACACUGGGACUGAGACACGGCGCAGACUCCUACAGGAGGCAGCAGUGGGGAAUAUUGGACAAUGGGCGAGAGCCCGAUCCAGCCAUGCCGCGUGAGUGACGAAGGCCUUAGGGUUGUAAAGCUCUUUUGGCGGGGAAGAUAAUGACGGUACCCGCAGAAUAAGCUCCGGCUAACUUCGUGCCAGCCGCCGCGGUAA
rnacentral:rRNA from 1 species